rnacentral:rRNA from 1 species
GGUAACACUGAAUGGAGGACCGAACCGACUUACGUUGAAAAGUGAGCGGAUGAACUGAGGGUAGCGGAGAAAUUCCAAUCGAACCUGGAGAUAGCUGGUUCUCUCCGAAAUAGCUUUAGGGCUAGCCUCAAGUGAUGAUUAUUGGAGGUAGAGCACUGUUUGGACGAGGGGCCCCUCUCGGGUUACCGAAUUCAGACAAACUCCGAAUGCCAAUUAAUUUAACUUGGGAGUCAGAACAUGGGUGAUAAGGUCCGUGUUCGAAAGGGAAACAGCCCAGACCACCAGCUAAGGUCCCAAAAUAUAUGUUAAGUGGAAAAGGAUGUGGCGUUGCCCAGACAACUAGGAUGUUGGCUUAGAAGCAGCCAUCAUUUAAAGAGUGCGUAAUAGCUCACUAGUCGAGUGACACUGCGCCGAAAAUGUACCGGGGCUAAACAUAUUACCGAAGCUGUGGAUUGUCCUUUGGACAAUGGUAGGAGAGCGUUCUAAGGGCGUUGAAGCAUGAUCGUAAGGACAUGUGGAGCGCUUAGAAGUGAGAAUGCCGGUGUGAGUAGCGAAAGACGGGUGAGAAUCCCGUCCACCGAUUGACUAAGGUUUCCAGAGGAAGGCUCGUCCGCUCUGGGUUAGUCGGGUCCUAAGCUGAGGCCGACAGGCGUAGGCGAUGGAUAACAGGUUGAUAUUCCUGUACCACCUAUAAUCGUUUUAAUCGAUGGGGGGACGCAGUAGGAUAGGCGAAGCGUGCGAUUGGAUUGCACGUC